AUACGGAGGGGGCUAACGUUAUUCGGAAUUACUGGGCGUAAAGCGCACGUAGGCGGCGUAUCAAGUUAGAGGUGAAAGCCCUGGGCUCAACCCGGGAAUGGCCUUUAAGACUGAUAUGCUUGAGUUCGGAAGAGGGUAGUGGAAUUCCAAGUGUAGAGGUGAAAUUCGUAGAUAUUUGGAAGAACACCAGUGGCGAAGGCGGCUACCUGGUCCGAUACUGACGCUGAGGUGCGAAAGCGUGGGGAGCAAACAGGAUUAGAAACCCCGGUAGUCC
rnacentral:rRNA from 1 species